rnacentral:lncRNA from 1 species
UAUUUGGAGAAGGAAAUGUUGAGCAAUGGACCAGGCCUCAAGAUUGAAAAGCCAGCAAUUAAUAGCAGUACUGGUAUUGUUGAUGAUGCCACUGAAAUUUCAGUAGAAGAUACUCAUGACACUUCUUCACCAUCCCAAUUGCUAGACUGAUUACGUCGAUCAUCAGUGACAGAGCUAUAAAUUCUAACGAGAUGAUUCAGUAAAAUGUAAAAAUAUUUACAUGUUCAUGUGUUACUUUUCCUAUAUUCGUGUAAGUUAUCUUGCUGUGACUGUCAUUGUGCAACUGAUCAAACACUUUAAAGUAUUUCAAUUUGUGCAUUACUGGGACAAAUCUUUUAUUUUUUUUUCCUUUUUCUAUUGUGUCACAACACAAUUGAGUGAUUCGUGUAAUUGGACAUACAAGUUACAAAGAGAGAACAAAAUAUCAUACCAGUGCUUAUUAUUUUAUUAUGGUUAUGUAAUAAAUAUGUAUUAUCUAUUGUAAAUAAGUUAUAUUUUUAGUGGAUGUUAUUAAAAGGGCCCCUAUAGCAAUGUAACUACCUCAAGUCACAGUUUGGCUAUAAAACGCAUUGUAUACAAUCUCGUAAAACACACAGAAAAGAAAAAGAAAAAUUAUUGCCUCACUUCUAUACGUCUCUCUCCUCUCCUUUUGUUUAAGUUUAUUAUAGUGUAUUUACUUUCAACACGUUAUCAAUAUGGACUUAUCUUUCAGUUUCACUAUGUCAAAUUUAUUGAAACAUAAGUUUAUGGCACUGAAUAUUACCCGAAAAAAUUAUUUAUCAUGAGUCCUAGAUGCUGAAAUUUAUCUUGAUGCUAGAGGUCUUGGGGAUACUAUUAAACAAGAAAAUAAUGCUCAAGUCAAGAUAAGGAAAAGGCUAUUAUUUUUCUUCAUCAUUGUCACACCCCUUUCUUCACUGAAAAAAAUAUUAAGUUCGAAAACAGUUUUAAUUAUUAAAGUGACUAAAAAUGAAUAUUUGCUUCGAAAAGAAUUUUUUUACAAUUAAUCUCAGAGUCGCGACUUGGCAUAAAUUUGGUGUGUCAAGUCACCUUUGAAAAUCAUUGCUCAAAAUGAUUUUGACUUUUUAAAACUGAUCCAUGAAUAGAGAUUCCGAUUAAGGAAUUCUGUUGACCCAGGGAAAGGUAUUAGACAUCCCUUAGUCCCGCGGCUCGACCAUGAUUGCUUCGUGGAGUAUAUCGGCUAGUAAGACACUAUGGAAUGAAUAAACUUCACACAAAAGCACAUAAGCAAACAAGUACACAAACAAUAAGAAGAUCCAAAAAUAAUGUCCAGUCCAAUUAAUACAGUUCCAAAAUGAAAAAAUACUGAAAUUGAAACCUACAAUAAUCCUAAACUAUGCUUUACCCAAUGCCUCAAGCCUUGAUCGCGAACCUCCUUCGAAGACAUAAUACGUUGGGGCAUUCUCCGGUGAAUAAAUACGAUUUUCUCGAGGCAUUCCCCGACAAAUGAAUAUAAUUUCAAUUCCGUGAAAAGAAAUAGAAAACCAUUCGAACACACAUUCAAACAUUCGAUAAAGAUGGAAUCCUAAAAUUUGUCUACCCCAUUUGACGGCCUAAUCAUGAUACUAUCAAGUUUGACACAAUUAAAAUUCAUUCUGAAUUAAACAACCAUCAAUCGAUCAAAACAAACCCAUAUUCAAUUUUACCAAUGCCAAUCCCUCCCCGAAUCUCAUUCUCAAUCAAUAAUUAACUUAAUUCUUCAACUAUCAGUUCAAUUUUUCUUAAUCAAUUUUCUCAACAACCGAAUUCAACAUCAACCACAUACACACAACAAGAUGUCGGGUUCGAAAUCGAAAGGGCCAUGUGGAAGCUUGUAGUUGCAAACCAAAUCGUGAUGAUAAUUCAGACGACAAGGAAAACAUACUAAAAAAUAUAUUAUUGGUAUUAUUUGGUCAAGCGACCUACAUAUUGAAAAACUAAUCUUGAAAAAUAUAAAAGUUAUUGGAAGAAAAUCUCCCCUUAAACAAAGACUCUUUAAAAACUACAUUAUGGAUGCUACUGUAUUAUGGUAUGAGAAGAUAGUACUCUAUUUAUAGAGGUCCAAAACUAUUCCUCUAAGAAAGAGGUUAGCCAAAUAUGAAAAAGUUCUAUAUGUUCUUUUUAGGAAAAGUAAAAGUAAUUAUGGUAUUACUUUUAUUUUCCUUGUAAGAAAAGUAAAACUUAAAUUUGGUAAGAAAAUCAGGGCAAAAACCCUAACAAAUCUCCCCUUUUUUACUUGAUUUUCUUGACAUAAUUUGAUCCACCUUCUUCCCGUGCAUGAUCUCCGUUCUUUACAUAAUCUUCAUCACUGUUGUUUUCCAUGGUUAAAAAUAAAAUUUAAAAUAUUAUGGUAUUUUUAUUUUUAAAGAUGCAGCAACAGGAAUGUUGGAAUAUGCUUAAAACUUUUUCUCCAAAUGUAGUUGGACAAAGAAUCUUCAUUAUCAUCAAAUUGAUUGCAAAUUCAUUAGAACCGCCUUGAACUUGUCUUCAACCUCGUUUCACCAAACCAUUGAAUUUUUGAAUCGUAGGCUCGAACCAUUGAACCGUAGGUUCUGAUACCACUUUUUGGGUUCGAAAUCAAGAGGGUCAUGCAGAAGUUUGUAGUUGUAAAGCAUAUCGUGGUGAUAAUUCAAACGACAAAUAAAACAUACUAAAAAAAUAAAUUAUUGAUAUUAUUUGGUCAAGUGACCUACAUAUUGAAAAACUAAUCUUGAAAAAUAUAAAACCUAUUGAGAGAAAAUCUCCCCUUAAACAAAAACUAUUUAAAAAGUACAUUGUGGAUGUUACUGUGUUAUGAUAUGAGAAGGGAGUUUUCUAUUUAUAGAGGUCUAAAACUAUUCCUUCAAGAUAGAGGUUAGCAAAAUAUGAAAAAGUUUUAUAUUUUCUUUCUAGGAAAAGUAAAAAUAAUUAUGGUAUUACUUUUAUUUUCCUUUUAAGAAUAGUAAAACUUAAAUUUGGUAAGAAAAUCAGGGCAAAAACCCUAACACAAGAUCCAAGCAUUGUAAGCACACAAGUCAUUCACAUCCACAACAACUAUUAAAAUUCGAGAUAAAAAUAGAGAAUGAGAGAAGAAAUAAACCUCAAUGCUUUUUCAAUUUGAAUGAUUCUUCCAAAGUCGCUACUGUGGUUGUUCAAACUAUUGACGAUGGAUCCUUGUCGAAAACCUCAAACACUAAAACCUCGAAUUCAAUUUUAAGACUGAACAACCUCAAUUUCCAAUAAGUUUCUUAGGCGACAGAUCUGUUUAACCGAUGUCCGGUGGAUUUCACCAGAGCUAGUUGAAUUUUUGGCUAGAGCUCGUCGGUUUAUGUGUUUUUGAUGGGUUUUCGCCUGAGCUGGUGAGAUUUAUGUUUAGGACCUGAACCAUAGUGAUUUCCGAUGGAUUAUCAUCGGACUCGACAAAUAGCUAUUUUGUUUGACUAGUUUUUUUGUUAGUUUUGGUCGAAGAGGAUAUUUCCAUUAAAGUUCCAUUAGAGAAAGCACUAUUUUUCUCAUUAUUUUCCUUCUCUCCAUUUCUCUGUUAUCUCCCUCUCUCACUCCAUUUCUCUUCUAAAUCAACGCCCAAUUUUUAUUUUUUCUCUUAUUGUUUUUUAUAUUUUCUCAAUUUCUCACUGUUUUCCCUUUUCUUAUUUUUUAUUUUUCUUUCUCACCUCACUGUUUUUCUCUCUAAUUGUGGGUUUCUCUCCUCUUCUCUAAAUUGUCUAUGUGCGUGAAUAUCUAUAUAAUGUGUGUUGUUAUUCUCUUGAGAGUGUGUGUAGGCAGUGUGUAUAUUAUGUGUAUUUACGAGCUGUCGGGUGGUUAUCUUGAUAUGGGUGAGAGAAAAAAUGUGAGUUGGGGUGGGCUAGGGCACGUAGGGUAGAGGUUAUUUUUUUGAGAGUUAGUUAUUUUUAUCAUUUUGUGGAAAAGUUAUUAAAUAGAGUGGGGUGUAUGGUAAGGUGAGGCAAAAUGAAUAAAAUUGGCUUUUAGGGUGGGGGUAGGGGGGGUACAUGUCUACAUCAUGCCCCUCUUAAUUUGUGAACACAAAGUAUUUGUAUACAAUGAAGUAGACAACGAGAUAAAAUUUUGACCUGACAAUUAUUCAAAAGGAAGAAACAGAAGAACGUAGUUGCAUUCACUGAAGAUAGUUGAUGUGGAUCCGGAGUGUACCCAAGGAGAUGAGUGGUCAUGCCCAACUAUCUUAAUUUCUAGAACAAACUGCCAUGCAAUUUUCCAAUUGAUGUGAACUAUCCCUUGGAUUAUGCCUUUUUUUAUUGUGUGGCUUGGAUAAAAAAAAUUGGGCCUAGAAGGGCUUUGGUAUGUUUGUGGAGUUGGAGGAUGAAUCUGAAGAGUUGGUGCAUGCCAUUGUGGGUAAGAAGGGUGAUGAACAUAUGAUUGUACGUUAUAUAUUGUAUAUGAAGGUGGGGUAAUGGAGUAUAAUGGGUUUUGGGAGUGAUUAUAUAGAGCUUGAGUAUGAACUUGGGCUUGAGACUGAGAGUAAUGACGAUGUGGUCUUUCUGAAUGUGCUUGUUGUCCAACUACAACAACAGUUACAUCUUUCUUAUUCUUCUUUCCUCCAAUAUUUUUAAAACCAUUUUGAAUUGCUUAAGUAGUUGAUUUCAAUGUUACAAAACUCACAAUGUGAUUGGUCUUAAUUCCAUCCUCUAUUAUCUCCCCCAUUUUGAGGACCUCAAUAAAUGGCUUGCCUAAUACAGGUAAAAAAUGUUGAUAAUAUGGUUUAUCCUAUACUUGAAUAAGCAUUUCCACUAUCUUGCUUUCUUUCAUUGGUAGUUUCACCUUAACAUCUUGUACACAUCAUCUAAUCACAUACUCCCUGAAACUUUCAGCACUCUUCUUCCUCGUAUUAGUUAGGAGUUUAUCAUCGAAAAUCAACUCCAUAUUGUAUUGAAAUUAUUGCACAAAUUCAUUAGCUAGGUCAUCCCAACUAUUCCACGUGUCGAUGUCAUGAUCAACAAACCAUUAUGAGGCUAGACUCGAAAGACUCUUACAAAAAUAAGCCAUGAGUAAUUCUUCCGUCCCUCCAACACCCAUUAGUUGGUUACAAUAAUGUCUCAAAUGUACUACGGGAUCCUCAUGUCCAUAAUAUUUCUCCAACUUCGGCAUCUUAAAGCCAAGAGGAAGGUUAACAAUUGAAAACAUGCAUAAGUAGUUAUAUGAGACACUUUUGUAACUCCCCCCCCCCCCAAAUCAUAUUAGUUAUUCAUAGCCAGUUCCAAAUUUUUUACCUUUCUAGUCAUUUCUUCUUAUUCUUCUGUCAUAACAGUCUUUUCAACAUUAAAAGGAAAUUCAGGUGGUUGAGUGUAGCCAUAAGGACCAAUCAACUUAAAUAUGGGCUCAACAACAUAAUGUUGAUCACCAGAAAUAUUCAAUACAGGCUCUCCGGCAGAGUGGGGAGGCACAACCAUUGGAUGAAGAUCAAAAGUAGUGGGGGUGGUGCUGUAAAAACAUGAACAGCAGGUGGAGCUGAGUAUGUGGUAGUUUUUUGUUGAGGAGUUAGGAAAUGAAUAUUGGGAUAGUAUUGCCUCAGAGUAUACCUUGGUGCAUGUUUGGCAUGUCAACAAAAAUGAAAAAUUGUACAUGUGACAUUGAGAUAAGCUAGGAGAAUUUUCCAAAUUAUCCAUGAAAAAUGAAGGAGGAGGCAGCCCAUUAACCCAAGCUCGAUGCACUACCAUCAUUUGUUUCCUUAAUUUCAAUAUCUCUUCAAUAGAUCCUAAAUUCUCAUUUCCUGAACUUCUUGUCCGAUCAGUGAUAACAACCUAGAUCUCCUUGUUGGUCAUAGCUAACUUUACUUAGACUUGGUAUAAUAUGGGUGGCUAUCUAGAAUGCCACAAACCAACCACCUUAAACUAACUGAAUAAAAGAAGUAAUAAAUAUGUUAGUUUAAAAUCUUAUCCAAAAACUUCUCUCUUUUUUUUUUUGAAAAGAUCACCGAACCCUAAAAAGGUGCUUACGCAUCUCACCUCCGAGAGGAGAGAAUCGGGUGUGCAUAGUACGUGAAGUUUGGCCAAAUAUAGUCAAUCAAACUCUUUUUUUUUUUUUUAUGAAAUUUUAGAGGAAAAGAAAAUAACAAAGUUUCAAAAGUAGAUGAAAAUCAUUUUGUAUUUUUCGGAAGAAGCAACAUGUGCAAACAACUAAUCUAAAAUGAAGAGAAUCUUUUUUAUUUUUUUUUAUUAGUAUUUUCAAAAGAUAUUGAAAAAAAAAUUGGACUUUCAUCUCUAAAUUUCAUACCAAAAUGCAACCUAAGACAAUUAAAGAAAAAUCAUUUUGUAUUUUUCUCUUUCAAGGCAUAUAUGAAACACCUACUUUAAAUAAAAUGCAAAGAAAAUCUUUUGAAUUUUUUAAAUAAGAUCACCGAACCCAAGAAGGAUUGUCUACAUAUAUCACUCCUGACAGAGAAUAAUCAGGUGUUCAUAGUUCGUCCAAACUGAACAAUCAAACGAUAACUAAAAGACUGGACCACGACUUAAGGGACAUGACAAAAAUAGAUAAUGCAAAAUAUUUAAUAAAAUCUUUUUUGAGUUUUCAAUUUGAAAUAUCAUAAAAUAAGAAACCAACAACUACGAAAGAAAAAUCCUUUUUGCCAUUUUCAUUAUAUAAAAGGAACAAAAACUUAAAUAAAAAUCUUUUUGAAUUUUCCUCUAUAGAAAAUGUAUAAAGCUCCUACAAACACAAUAAAAAUCUUUUUCUUUGACAUUUUCAAAUUAUGAAUGCGUGCUGAAGACAAUAAAGAAAACAUCUUGUGAUGUUUUUUUUUUUUUUGAGAAAAUCCAUACAAAAGGUGAAAAAAUAAUCCUUUUGAAUUUUUGAUCGUGAAAAAACAAAAGUCAUAAAGAACUAUAAACUAAGAAACUCUUUCCUUUGACUCACUUUUUAAAAAUUUUUCCUUGCCUAAAAACACUUUUCCCCUCAAUUUUAGCACAUGUCACCCUAAAUCAGUCCGUCGAAUGACCCUGUUACCCUCGAAGAUGCAACAAUUAGCACGUAGGAAUUCUUAGGGGUAAGUUUCCUAUAAAAGACCAAACGAGUCCUGUUAGGUCUUAACAUGAUGCAAAUAAGAAUGACCUAAAUACCAAUCUAGGUUGGGGUUCAACUAACAUGGUUGUUCAGGGGAGCGUAUGAUCGAUAGUGGUUGUGACAGCUUUCCAUCCACUCCAUACCAGUUGACGGCUCCCUCUUCUAAUAUAAGGGUGACUAAACUAAUGGAUGUGUACACAACGUGUACUACCGUACUUGUUGCGAAAGAAAUGACUCGGGUAAUACAUAUUAUGACAAAUAUAAAGCGAUAACACAUAAGAAAAAAUUGUAAACACAGCACAUAAAUAUCCAACAAUGAUAAAGAUAACACAAAUAAAAUGUCUAUACACUUAUAGUGACAAACUAAGCCGAUACAACUCAAUAAUAAAGCUCAAAUUCUAAAUAAAAAUCCCUAGCAGAGUCGCCAGAGCUGUCACACCUUUUUUAACCGAAAAAAAAUGUUGAUUUUAAGUUUGAAAAGGGUUUUAAUUAUUAAAGUGACUAAAAAUAAAAUUUUCUUUGAAAAGGAUUUUUUUAUAAUUUAUCUCAGAAUUGCCACUUGACAUAAAUUUGGUGUACCAAGUCACCUUUGGAAAUCAUUUUUUAAAAUGAUUUUGACUCUUUAAAACUAGUCCACAAACAGAGAUGCUAAUUAAGGAAUUCUGUUGACUGAGAAAAAGAUGUUAGGCAUCCCUCGGUCUCAUGGUUCGACCACAGUCGCUUCGUGGAGUAUAUCGACAAGUAAGAGACUAUGUGAUAAAUAAACUUCACACAAAAGCACAUAAGCAAAAAAGUACACAAAUAAAUAUGAGGAUCCAAAAAUAAUGUCAAGUCUGAUUAAUACAGUCCCAAAAUAAAACGGUACUGAAAUGUAAACAUAAACUAACGUACACUAAUAAUAAACUAUGCUCUACCCGAUGCCUCGGGCCUUGAUCACGAAUCUCUUUCGAAGAUAUAAUAUGUCGGGAUAUUCUCCAGUGAAUAAAUAUAAUUUUUCUCAGGGCAUUUGUCGACAAAUGAAUACAAUUUCAAUGUUAUGCAAGAAAAUAUAAAAUCCUUCAAACACACAUUCAAACAUUUGAUAAAGAUGGAAUCCUAAAAUUUGCCUACCCCAUUUGACAAUCUAAUCAUGAUACUAUCAAGCUCGACACAAUUAACAUUCAUUCUGAAAUAAACAAUCAUCAACAGAUCAAAACAAACCCAUAUUCACUUUUAUUAGUCAAUCCCUCCUCGAAUUUCAUUCUCAAUCAAUGAUUAACUUAAUUCUUCAACUAUCAAUUCAUUUUUUCUCAAUCAAUUUUCCCAACAUCUGAAUUCAAUAUCAACCACAUACACACAACAAAGAUCCAAGCAAAGUAAGCACACAAGUCAUUUAUAUCCACAACAACAAUUAAAAUUUAAGAAAAAAAUAAAAAAUGAAAAGAGAAAUAAACCUCAAUGCUUUUUCAAUUGGAAUGAUUCUUUCAAAGUCGAUACCGUGGUUGGUCAAACUAUUGACGAUGGAGACUCAUUAGAAACCUCAAACACUAGAAUCUCAAAUUUGAUUCUGGGACCAAAAAAAAAACUAAAUUUCUAAUUAGUUUCUUAGGUGACAGAUCUAUUUUGGCCAAUUUUUGAUGGAUUUCCACCGGAGUUGAUUUGAUUUUUGGUUAGAGCUUGUUGGUUUACGUAUUUUUGAUGGGUUUCACCAAAGAUGGUUGGAUUUAUGUUUAGGACCUGAACUGUAGCAAUUUUUAGUGGAUUAUCGCCGAACUCAAAAAAUAGAGAUCUAAUUUAACUGGGUUUCUUGCUGGUUUUGAUCAAAGAUGGUAUUUUUGGGGAAAUUUUACUGGAGAAAGAACUGUGUUCUCUAACUAUUUCUCUUCUCCCCAUUUCUCCGUUACUUCUUUUUUCUCAUGCUAUUUCUCUUCUAAAUAAACAUCUAAUUUUUAUUAUUUUCUCGUAUUAUUUUCUCUCUUUUUUCUCAAUUCCUCUGUAUUUUCCCUCUCCCCAUUUUUGAUUUUCCUUUCUCACCUCACUAUUUUUUCUCUUUGUGUAUGGGUUUUUUUCUUUUUCUAUAUAGUGUCUGUGUAUGUUAACA